rnacentral:rRNA from 2 species
GGAUAACCUGCCCUUGGGACCGGCAUAACCCCGGGAAACUGGGGAUAAUUCCGGAUAACGCAUAUGUGCUGGAAUGCUUUAUGCGUAAAAUGGAUUCGUCUGCCCAAGGAUGGGUCUGCGGCCUAUCAGGUAGUAGUGGGUGUAAUGUACCUACUAGCCAGCGACGGGUACGGGUUGUGAGAGCAAGAGCCCGGAGAUGGAUUCUGAGACAUGAAUCCAGGCCCUACGGGGCGCAGCAGGCGCGAAAACUUUACAAUGCGGGAAACCGUGAUAAGGGGACACCGAGUGCCAGCAUCAUAUGCUGGCUGUCCAGGUGUGUAAAAUACACCUGUUAGCAAGGGCCGGGCAAGACCGGUGCCAGCCGCCGCGGUAACACCGGCGGCCCGAGUGGUGAUCGUGAUUAUUGGGUCUAAAGGGUCCGUAGCCGGUUUGGUCAGUCCUCCGGGAAAUCUGAUAGCUUAACUAUUAGGCUUUCGGGGGAUACUGCCAGACUUGGAACCGGGAGAGGUAAGAGGUACUACAGGGGUAGGAGUGAAAUCUUGUAAUCCCUGUGGGACCACCUGUGGCGAAGGCGUCUUACCAGAACGGGUUCGACGGUGAGGGACGAAAGCUGGGGGCACGAACCGGAUUAGAUACCCGGGUAGUCCCAGCCGUAAACGAUGCUCGCUAGGUGUCAGGCAUGGCGCGACCGUGUCUGGUGCCGCAGGGAAGCCGUGAAGCGAGCCACCUGGGAAGUACGGCCGCAAGGCUGAAACUUAA